UACGUAGGGGGCGAGCGUUGUCCGAAUUUACUGGGCGUAAAGCGCGUGUAGGCGGCUCUUUAAGUGAGAUGUGAAAUCCUGUGGCUCAACCACAGAACUGCAUUUCAAACUGGAGAGCUUGAGUUUGGGAGAGGAGAGUGGAAUUCCUGGUGUAGCGGUGAAAUGCGUAGAUAUCAGGAGGAACACCCGUGGCGAAGGCGGCUCUCUGGCCCAACACUGACGCUGAGACGCGAAAGCUAGGGGAGCGAACGGG
rnacentral:rRNA from 1 species